rnacentral:rRNA from 1 species
UACAGAGGGUGCGAGCGUUGUUCGGAAUUAUUGGGCGUAAAGGGCGCGUAGGCGGCGCCACAAGUCACUUGUGAAAACUCUGGGCUCAACCCAGAGCCUGCAGGCGAAACUGUGGUGCUGGAGUAUGGGAGAGGUGCGUGGAAUUCCUGGUGUAGCGGUGAAAUGCGCAGAUAUCAGGAAGAACACCCGUGGCGAAGGCGGCUCUCUGGGACGGUACUGACGCUGAGACGCGAAAGCGUGGGGAGCGAACAGG